UUGCGCUCUUGCUACAAGUCCAAAGAAAAACUCACAUCAGGUGCGUAGGCCAAAAAAUGUCAAGAAGACACCAGGAAAUGCUCGCACACCUAUCACAUAAAUGGAAUGUCCACAUCCACAAAACGGUCUUCAAUUCGAUGACUCAUUUCUUCAUUUAGCUCGGUGUUUAGCCUGCAGCUCUUACGCUUUGAUGAGAACAUUAAACCAUGACAGUUCAUCCAGCUCAUCCAGUUUUACAACUUGACAUAUUUUGUUUUACAGGAUAUGACCUGUUAUGGUAGAAAUGAUGAUGCUGUUUCAUGAUUGGCUGUAUGUGAACAAGACAUUGUAUAAAUGAAAAGGAGGUCUUAUCUGUUGGACAGACACUUCACAUCAUCUGACACCAACUAACGCUGAAUUUACAAAGGGACAUCACCCAAGCUGAACUGCCACAGACUCGGAAGCAGCUGUAGAGCCGGAGUAUCUGCCGUCCUGCUGAGAAAUCCAGAGCAUCACAACGCCCAGAGAAAUACAAGAUGGCUGCUGGCCGUAUCGCUC